AUUGAACGCUGGCGGCAUGCCUUACACAUGCAAGUCGAACGGCAGCGGACCUUCGGGUGCCGGCGAGUGGCGAACAGGUGAGUAAUAUAUCGGAACGUACCUUUCAGUGGGGGAUAACGUAGCGAAAGUUACGCUAAUACCGCAUAUUCUGUGAGCAGGAAAGCAGGGGAUCGCAAGACCUUGCGCUGAUUGAGCGGCCGAUAUCAGAUUAGCUAGUUGGUGAGGUAAAGGCUCACCGAGGCGACGAUCUGUAGCGGGUCUGAGAGGAUGAUCCGCCACACUGGAACUGAGACACGGUCCAGACUCCUACGGGAGGCAGCAGUGGGGAAUUUUGGACAAUGGGCGCAAGCCUGAUCCAGCCAUGCCGCGUGAGUGAAGAAGGCC
rnacentral:rRNA from 1 species